rnacentral:rRNA from 1 species
GACGAACGCUGGCGGCGUGCCUAAUACAUGCAAGUCGAACGAACUCUGGUAUUGAUUGGUGCUUGCAUCAUGAUUUACAUUUGAGUGAGUGGCGAACUGGUGAGUAACACGUGGGAAACCUGCCCAGAAGCGGGGGAUAACACCUGGAAACAGAUGCUAAUACCGCAUAACAACUUGGACCGCAUGGUCCGAGUUUGAAAGAUGGCUUCGGCUAUCACUUUUGGAUGGUCCCGCGGCGUAUUAGCUAGAUGGUGGGGUAACGGCUCACCAUGGCAAUGAUACGUAGCCGACCUGAGAGGGUAAUCGGCCACAUUGGGACUGAGACACGGCCCAAACUCCUACGGGAGGCAGCAGUAGGGAAUCUUCCACAAUGGACGAAAGUCUGAUGGAGCAACGCCGCGUGAGUGAAGAAGGGUUUCGGCUCGUAAAACUCUGUUGUUAAAGAAGAACAUAUCUGAGAGUAACUGUUCAGGUAUUGACGGUAUUUAACCAGAAAGCCACGGCUAACUACGUGCCAGCAGCCGCGGUAAUACGUAGGUGGCAAGCGUUGUCCGGAUUUAUUGGGCGUAAAGCGAGCGCAGGCGGUUUUUUAAGUCUGAUGUGAAAGCCUUCGGCUCAACCGAAGAAGUGCAUCGGAAACUGGGAAACUUGAGUGCAGAAGAGGACAGUGGAACUCCAUGUGUAGCGGUGAAAUGCGUAGAUAUAUGGAAGAACACCAGUGGCGAAGGCGGCUGUCUGGUCUGUAACUGACGCUGAGGCUCGAAAGUAUGGGUAGCAAACAGGAUUAGAUACCCUGGUAGUCCAUACCGUAAACGAUGAAUGCUAAGUGUUGGAGGGUUUCCGCCCUUCAGUGCUGCAGCUAACGCAUAAGCAUCC